GGCUCAUUAAAAUGACAUAUUAUGAUGUACUUUACUUGCUUUGGUUUCUCUGCUGAAAUGUUGAUCAAUGUGUUCCUCAAUGAAAUGAAAUGUUCGUCAUUGUCUUCUCCUGCUACCUGAAAAAGGAAGGUCUACUGAAUCUCUACUAGUAGACACCAUUGAUCUCCACUGAUUUACAAGAAUAAUAAUGUGAAACCAAUGAAAACAUGAUGGCAUGCAGCACAGACGGAAGGUUAGUAGUUUUCACAGUAUUAUAGUCUGAAAUCUACCUGUCUCAAAACAACUUGUCAAAGUGUUAGAUCUCUUGUCAUCAUUUCAAACCACUUGAUUUGAUGUCUCUAGUAGUGUGUGCCAGGAAUCUGCACUUAACAAGUUGCCUCAUGCCAUUCUGAUCAUUUUUAAGGCUUAAAAGCUACUGCUACGGA
rnacentral:lncRNA from 10 species